GGAAGAACAACUGAAAAUCGUUUUGUUUGCAAGUGUGACAUGUGUAGAGAAGAACCUCCUAACUAGCCUUUUAACCAUCUAUUUCACCAAAAUCGUUUUACAAUCUGCCCUAUUUCCAAUCUGUUUUCUUUAGUUUAAUUUUCGUCAAAACAAAAUCCCCCUUUAAUUUGAAGUCUUAGAUUAGUUAGAAAGUGUUUUGAUUUGUGUUUCUAAGUAUUUUGAUUCAAGUUUUUCAUCAAAUUUCGUCCAAAUUAGUGUAGGUGCUCAAAACUGCCCAGAAAGUGGUUUUUAGGCAGUUUUGAGCCUUCUAGUUGCUGUUUUGGUUUUUAGGUUUGUUUAAGUGUUUUAACUUUUAGUUUUGCAUUCUUUGAGUCUAGUUUAGUGUUUUUAACUUUGUUUUUGAGUGUUUGAGUCAGUUUCCAAGCGUUUAGCAAUCCCUCCUAAUCCCCGGUCUAGAACGAUCCCUACUUACAUCUUUGCUACAAUUUGACAAAAAGAGGGUUUAAUUUGUGUGCUUAUUUAUUUCGCAUCACUCUCUCACUCUCUCUCUCACCCUCGAAUGUACGGACCACCCCACAAAACCUUCAAAACUUCAUCGAUCGACGUGGAGAUUAGCAUCAUCGUGUUCACGAGUGUCAUACGAACUCAAAGAUACCAUUUUCAGGUAAGAAAUCCUUCGUUUUCACGUUCAAAACUCGAUGACCGAAUGUGGCACUAUUCAUGAACUUUGUGUUGGUUGAUUUUUAGGACAAUCCAAGCUCACAGUGAGCUUUAGAAGGUUCUAAGGAAGCUCGGGGACGUUCGUUUGGGGGUUUUGGAUGUCGGGAUCGUCGAGUUCGAAGUUGGCCGAUUUUCUUGGAAAUUCUCCUGUGAGAUUUCGUGAUU
rnacentral:lncRNA from 1 species